rnacentral:lncRNA from 1 species
GGCUGAUACAGAUGUGUCACUUGUCCAUUAUGGGAAAUACUAGAUGACUCAGUCACAUAAAGGGAGACAGCAGGGUGAGGUCAGGUAUUCCUGUUGAAUGGUGACUUGUGGCCAAGAAAAAUAUUUAGAUCUGAGUUUAAGUAUUCAGGUUUUGCCAAGUAUCAGUCACCCUAAACUUUCCAUUAUGUCCCUUGACAUGUGUGUGGGUGUGCAUGUGUGUGCAUGUGUGUGCACCUAUCUGGCUAGAUCAAUAACCGCCCUUUGGGGGGGAGGUGCUUCUGUUUUGCAGCACAGUUGUUCCUCUUUUGUUCUGUAUUUCAUUCCUCAUGAUAGUUGCCUUAUUUAAUAAAACAUGCCUUCUUAAUGUUCUCAUAGGCUAUUUAGGAAUGUAAGCGUAGUGAUCUUCAUGAAAGGAUAAUGAACAUUUUGUUACCUCAAAGGUCAAAGGGGAACAUUUCAUUUCAGGAAAAGAAACAAGUUUAGAUAAUGUACUUCAACCCAUGCAAGUUCAGCAAAAUCAAAAAAGUUAAAUGAGCCUGUAAAUGGUUAUCUGAAACCUCUCCUUGAAGCCCUAUGCCCAUUCUCCAUGAACAGUUUAUGCUGCAUUGGGAGGCUGUGGAUGGAUCAUGAAAAUGUAUAUUUGAAAAUAGGGACGAGUGCUUUUUAGGUAUAGACUCCAUGGGCAACUAUUGUUAAUAUUGAUUUACUGUCAGCUUGGUCUUCAUGUUGUUCCCUCCAACAAGUGGAGUUGGGGCUAGCUCUAAAGCUGUUGCCUGUCUGUGGAAUACAUUCCCCUAACUAGACUGCCGUGUCUGGCCUCAGUGGGAGAGGAUGUGCCUAGCCCUGCAGAGACUUGAUGUGCCAGGGGUAUAUCAGGGUGAAUCUGGGCUCCACCCUCUCAGAGGAGAAGGGGAUUGGGGGAACCAGGAGGCAGGGUAGCAAUUGGAUGUAAACUGAGUAAAAAACUUGAUUUACUUUCAAUUUGAAUUAAAGGGAUGGUGAUUUAGAACAGCCUUCUGAUUCAUUAAUUUUUAUAUUUUUCUUCACUGAUAAGUAAUGAAGGAAAUAUGUCCAUUUAGCUGAUCAUUAUUACUGUUAAAAAGUCUGUCAAAAAAGGCAAGUUGCAGUGUGUUUUGGCAGAGAUCAUUGUUACAAGUGAAUUUUAUUAAAUGUUUUAAAAGACAUAUUUUCAAAAUUUCUUCUUUUAAAAAAUUCUAUAAUCUAUGCUUUAAAUCUGUAUUUUGCAAUUGGCCAAGAAUUCUGUUGACCAAGUUGGAAACAUAUAUUGGUUCAUUUUAUUUCUGUCAGUGUACAGUACAAACUUUGAAAACAUGACAUUUUCUGUAGGUAUAUGGAAAGUUGCUUAAGACUUCUGCCAGAGUGAGUGUAGUGAUUGGUUGCUCCUGUGAGAUGUAGUUUGCUAGUAAAGAUCUGAGGGCUUGAGUUUCUUUACAUUUGAUAUAUUGAUUAACUAUGGGAACAAAGUAAUACUUUAUUUAAGGAAUGAUGCUAAUGCUAUUUUAGUAAUAUUGCAGUAAGAUGGUUACAUUUUCACUGAAUAAACUAUAUUGCCUUGUAAUGUAUGAUAGCUUAUUUAAUAAUUUGCAUAAGGUCAUAUUUAAAGUCAGCUCACUGGCAGACCUACGGCCUUUAGACAUUUUUCCCUCCCCUGAUGAGUGAUGAGUGACCAUCUGUCUGGAACAUGAAUUCAGGUUGACCCGAGUGACAUGUCUCAUGGCAAAAGUGUUUCCAUGAACUUCCAUAGUCACAGAAUAAUGACAGUCUUCAGAGCUUUUACCACAGGAUAUUGAUGGAGACAGGUGGUAGUCGGAUUGAAUCAGAGCAGGAGGAAUUCUGUUAUAGGUUUCCUCUAUUGCCUCAUGACAGUUUGGGGUCGGUAGAAGAAAUGUAUGUACAUUUCAGAGGUAUUACAUGACAGACAAAAGGUGUGUUAGGUUAGAGACAGAAGUGAGUGACCGUCUUCAGUAUUAACAACUCUGGACAAUCAGAAGGUCUCAUCAGUCCGUAUAAUCUUCAUAUACAGGUAUGGCUUUUUCAGGGAACUUCAGUGCACAGAAAAGACUUGUUUUCAAUCACAGAAGAAUGUUUUAGCCAAUAGCAAAUAUCAGUGCUUUUGAGAAUUGUAAGACGACUUCUGCUUCUCAAGAUUCUACGCAAAGCUUUUUAUACACAAGCUUUCCCCUAACCAUUCACAGUAAGGUCUUCCUGUAUUGUUCCUGUCUUGUUGUUUGCUCUUGUGACACCCACCCUGCUUCUAUUUCCCAUCUGUUACUUGGUUGGUGGUACCACCAUAUGUUCUCUCUUCCUACCAAAUAUCAUGCAAUCAAUUGUAACUCUGCUUUCCUCCUCCCAGCCAAAUCUACUCAUUUACGAGUCCCAAACACAGAGCUUAGAAACAAGGCUAAGAUCUGUUCUCUGGUCCCAUUACCAUUCAGCUUUCAUUCAGUCACUAGACACUGCCAUGCUUGUAUUAUGUCAAUUAAUAGCUAAGAAAUAUAGUAAGAAACCAAAUGGCAGAGCUCUUGCUGUUUGCAUUGUAAUAGACGGGAUCCAUAGUAAACAAACAUAGGAAUAUAGCUACAGAUACUUAAAAGUGCUGUGCAGACAUUGAGUAGUGAGGAUAUGAGAGCUACACAGGAGAGGAAGGGAUCCCAUGGAACCUUGGCUAGGGUAGGCUUGGUGUUGAGCCAGCUAUUCUGAGAUUCUGGACCCAGAGGAUAGUAAACAACAGGCUCAGAUGCCAGAAAUUCGUCAGUAGAUCUCCCAGACAGAAGGGAUGUCAGUGUUCAUGGAAAGUAGCAAGACAGACAGGGCUAAGCUAUUGUGGGAGAGUCAGGCAAACUAAGAUGCAUCUUGGAGAUAAAACAUCAGUCACAAGUAGGUUCUAUACGAGGAGAAACAGGAUAAAGUAAUGAAAUAACAGGAUAGAUUUCAGAUUUUAAGAUAGGGUUUUAUUUGUAUGCAUGUGUGCAUACAUGUGUGUGUGUGUGUGUGUGUGUGUGUGUUUGCACAUGCGUGUGUAUAGGUGUGUGCUUUUGCAUGUGCAUAGAGGUCAGAAGAGGGCCUCAGGUAUUCUGGUUUCUAUUAUUCCACGUCUUCCCCUGAGUCAGGAUCUCUAUUUGAACUGCGGAUUGGCAGUUUUUCAGCUAGGAUGGAAGCCAGCAAGCCCCAGAGAUCCUGCUGUCUUCUGACUUUGAGCUGGAGUUCCCGUCGUGCAGGAGACACUAGGCUUGGAUGGCUACUGAAUCUGAACUCCAGUUCUUGUGGUCGUGCAACAAGCACCCUUCAGCACCACGCCAUCUCUCCAGCUUUGGAUUUUAGGUAUCUGACCAAGCAGAUCUUGUCAAAGUGUUGAACGCUCCAUCUGUAGACAGACGUGUAGGAGAUAUGAUCAGUCCCUUGAAAUUCUCUUGGGUGAUUGUCAUGAUCAAGUAAUUUUUGUUUAUUAAAAAGACAUCAUCAGCUCAGUGACAAAAUGUACUGCUUUUUGUAUCCUUUGUCUGUUACAUGGCUGCAAGUUUUAUUUUUUAAAUGUAAGCUUUACUUGAAAAUGUUCUUGAUUGGGCUGGGGAAUGUGUCUCAGUAGUAGAACACUUACUUACCUGACAUGAGCCCACCCCUCCGGCUCCAAAGUGAAUG